UACGGGGGGGGCAAGCGUUGUUCGGAAUUACUGGGCGUAAAGGGCUCGUAGGCGGCCAACUAAGUCAGACGUGAAAUCCCUCGGCUUAACCGGGGAACUGCGUCUGAUACUGGAUGGCUUGAGGUUGGGAGAGGGAUGCAGAAUUCCAGGUGUAGCGGUGAAAUGCGUAGAUAUCUGGAGGAAUACCGGUGGCGAAGGCGGCAUCCUGGACCGACAUUGACGCUGAACGGCGAAAGCUAGGGGAGCAAACGGG
rnacentral:rRNA from 1 species